GCACAAGCGGUGGAGCAUGUGUUAUCGAAGCAACGCGAAGAACCUUACCAGGUCUUGACAUCCCGAUGCUAUUUCUAGAGAUAGAAAGUUACUUCGGUACAUCGGUGACAGGUGGUGCAUGGUUGUCGUCAGCUCGUGUCGUGAGAUGUUGGGUUAAGUCCCGCAACGAGCGCAACCCCUAUUGUUAGUUGCCAUCAUUCAGUUGGGCACUCUAGCGAGACUGCCGGUAAUAAACCGGAGGAAGUGGGAUGACGUCAAAUCAUCAUGCCCCUUAUGACCUGGGCUACACACGUGCUACAAUGGUUGGUACAACGAGUUGCGAGUCGGUGACGGCGAGCUAAUCUCUUAAAGCCAAUCUCAGUUCGGAUUGUAGGCUGCAACUCGCCUACAUGAAGUCGGAAUCGCUAGUAAUCGCGGAUCAGCACGCCGCGGUGAAUACGUUCCCGGGCCUU
rnacentral:rRNA from 1 species